AUUGAACGCUGGCGGCAGGCCUAACACAUGCAAGUCGAACGGUAACAGGAAGCAGCUUGCUGCUUUGCUGACGAGUGGCGGACGGGUGAGUAAUGUCUGGGAAACUGCCCGAUGGAGGGGGAUAACUACUGGAAACGGUAGCUAAUACCGCAUAACGUCGCAAGACCAAAGAGGGGGACCUUCGGGCCUCUUGCCAUCGGAUGUGCCCAGAUGGGAUUAGCUUGUUGGUGAGGUAACGGCUCACCAAGGCGACGAUCCCUAGCUGGUCUGAGAGGAUGACCAGCCACACGGGAACUGAGACACGGUCCAGACUCCUACGGGAGGCAGCAGUGGGGAAUAUUGCACAAUGGGCGCAAGCCUGAUGCAGCCAUGCCGCGUGUAUGAAGAAGGCCUUCGGGUUGUAAAGUACUUUCAGCGGGGAGGAAGGGGUUAAGGUUAAUAACCUUAGCCAUUGACGUUACCCGCAGAAGAAGCACCGGCUAACUCCGUGCCAGCAGCCGCCGUAACAC
rnacentral:rRNA from 1 species